UUGCGCACUGGAUAGCAUAGAAACUAAAACUGAAAAUUUACAGAGAAUAUUAGCAUGGCCCUUCAGUAAAGGAUAAUAAACACAAUUGUGAAGUAUCCUAUUUUUUA